GUUUAUUGUUGAUUGUUCUGUGAUGGUGGAAGGCCUCUACUCCAUGCAGUUCUUCAGGAAACCAAGCUGAUGGAAGCUCUGCUGUCUUCAACUAGUUGUUCUGGUCAUCUUUGACACCAAUCAACCUUUGGGGAGUGGGGGAUUGCAUCGAAGGUCUCUGGAGGUUUUGCUAGUCUAGCCCAGCAGUGGCAUAUAUCAUUUCCACCAGAAAGAAUAUAGUCAUUUAGCUACCUAACUGCAAAGGAGUCUAGAAAUCAUGGAAGAAAAGGAGAAUGGAUUUUAAUGGACACUUAGCAGUCUCUGACAUGAAAUCUGGGAAAGACAAAAUAGUGAUGAAAUGGCAAAUGAGUACAUGCUCUGGUGGAGGGUGGAAAUAAUUUUUAAAAAAUGUAUUUAGAAGGUGAGAGAAGGUAAUACUCAGUGUGGAACAAAGUCAUUGGGAAGAGUAUCACUCAAGAGAUGGAACGAUGGGAGAGAAGAUAAACUGGAUAAAUGAAGACAAAAGAAAUAUAAAUGACUCAAUAAACACAUAUGGAUGCACUGUAUUUUGGAGAAAGAAUACGUUUGCAAAGCUUUUAAAAUUAAAUCUUCAUGAGAAUGUAGGAGUAAAUGCCAGAUGAAUUCAUUCAAACAAAGUCUACACACUGCAUUCUAUUGAUAUUGGAGUACGUUUUGAAUGGCAUGAAGAGUCACCCAAGGCAAUAUGCAAAUCAGGAAGCGGAAGUUCUAAACUACCAAGGAGCCGACUCUUGGUAUUUCCGGCCUUGCUGAGACCAGAAAGUAGCGGAAGAGACAAAUCUUUCUUGUUAGAGUUCCAAUUUGAUUUCCAAAUCAAGGUGCACAGGAUCAAAGGUCUCCUGAGUACAGAUCAGCAUCCCAAACUUUGAUGCUUAUCUAAAUAAACAGCUUGGAACUCUGCUCUACUAGUUGUAACAUAGACAGGUGACUGAGAUAAAGAGAUAAAUCAGCUGCUGAGGAAUGAGGGGAAAUUCCCACCUAAGAGCUGAAAGCAACAAUAUUUGAGCUUGUGAUUGCCUUCCUUUUUAAUUUUCUAAGGUGAGGUGAUCAACACCUUUAAUAAAUGGAAGAUUGAAGGUCUUAGUACUUGAGUAAGCUAGGAGGGAAAACAAUGUCCACAAAUGGAUUCUUUCAUUAUGAUAAAAAAAAAAAAAUAGCAGAAUUUUAAGGAGUUACCCUGACAAGAAUUUUGGCUGCAGUGGAACUAGUUAAUAUACUUGUUACAUGAUCUCUAAAGUAAGUUAAAACAUGUGGAAGUAGAAGAAACAGAAAAGAUCACACCAUAUUUUCUAUUUAUUAUGUAGCUUAGAUUUUCUCUUUCAAUUGUUUUUUGUUUGUUUCUACGGGGAAAAAUAAGUGUUCACACUACAGGUAAUCAAAGGAAAAUUAGAUUAGUUUUUAAAUAGUGAAACUUCUAGAUGAGCGGACCUGGAAGAUAAUUUGUGAAUCAAGCAAGUGCAUUUGGUGCAUCAUUGGGCAAACUGAUAAAACCCAUGCAUCUGAAAGGGAGGUGAGGAGUUUCUGCUGUCACCAGAGCUUCACUUGGCAAGUUAGUCCCACCACUCUCCACAAAUGAAAUGAAACUAGAGGAGUAUUUUAGUCAUACUCACAAUGCGGAAUCUUUAGAACCACAUCUGAGACUUCUGUUGAGUUUAAAGGUACUGAAAAUUAGUUUUCAGGACCAGCCUUCCAAAAUCUGGACUAAAAUAAUCACAUUAGCCCUUGUUAAAUGUAUUCACAGUCAAGCAAUAAAAC